rnacentral:rRNA from 1 species
UGGGGAAUUUUGGACAAUGGGCGAAAGCCUGAUCCAGCAAUGCCGCGUGUGUGAAGAAGGCCUUCGGGUUGUAAAGCACUUUUGUCCGGAAAGAAAUCCUUGGCUCUAAUACAGUCGGGGGAUGACGGUACCGGAAGAAUAAGCACCGGCUAACUACGUGCCAGCAGCCGCGGUAAUACGUAGGGUGCAAGCGUUAAUCGGAAUUACUGGGCGUAAAGCGUGCGCAGGCGGUUCGCUAAGACCGAUGUGAAAUCCCCGGGCUCAACCUGGGAACUGCAUUGGUGACUGGCAGGCUAGAGUAUGGCAGAGGGGGGUAGAAUUCCACGUGUAGCAGUGAAAUGCGUAGAGAUGUGGAGGAAUACCGAUGGCGAAGGCAGCCCCCUGGGCCAAUACUGACGCUCAUGCACGAAAGCGUGGGGAGCAAACAGGAUUAGAUACCCUGGUAGUCCACGCCCUAAACGAUGUCAACUAGUUGUUGGGGAUUCAUUCCUUAGUAACGUAGCUAACGCGUGAAGUUGACCGCCUGGGGAGUACGUCGCAAGAUUAAAACUCAAAUGAAUUGACGGGGUCAUAGCUGUUUCCU